GGCGGUGGCGAGGACCCCGGGAGCCCUUGGCGGGCAUCUGUGGGUGUCCUCGAGUGAGGGGCUGCGGGCUCCGGCCACGCGCACGGGGACACCCGGAGAGCAGCCGUGUUCCCCGCCUCCGGACGGGACGCUGCGGUCGCCCUUGUUUAUUAUGGUGGCUGUGGGACGUGGCACCCCCUUCCCCCAUUCAGAUGAACACUACCCGGGACUGAGCCUCAGUUUCCUCGCCUGUCAAAUGGGCCUCCUCGCGCCUCCCAAACUGGGUUGUGGUAGGACAGGCUGGGAGGACGGUACGGGGUGCCCAGCACACAGCGGGGGCUCUGUCAGGACCAAGGCCAAGAUGACCCGCCCUCUGUGGCCAGCGCAGUUCCCAGCUUGCAGAUGGAGAAAUGAGUCGCGGGGUGGGGGCCCCUGAGGUCGGGCUGAGCCCCAGGGGGAUGGCACCUGCGGGGGAAUUGGAACCCAGCACCCAGCCCUGCGGCUGCAGCGACACCUGCUGGCUGACCCCAUUGCCCUGCCUUCCGGGGGCGGGGUGUUCCCUCCCAUGUGGCCCCAUCCCCCUGACCCCCAGGGGAAAGCCCUGCCCACCCCCUGCUCUCAGGGCCUGUAGGGGCCAGCAGCCUCUGUUCUCCUCGGGCAGGCGCUAUUUCUGUCUCUCGAUGGUGUCAGUGGGGAGCCUGUGGGCAGGGAGCACAGUGCGUUAUUGGGGAUUUAUGAGCCACGAUCGGGCUCCCCGGUAGCCUCUUCUUCAAAGACCCUGAGGUGGGAGCCCCACCCUGGAACCCAGAGCGGCCCCCUCUCCGCACUGAGGAGUGUGGACCUUGGGCAGAUGACUGAAUUUCUCUGAGUCUCAGUUUGCCCACCUGUCAAAUGGGAAUCAGUAUCACAGCCACUUGACUGUGGGAGGGGUGGACGAGUUAAUAUCUAUAAACACGAGGCCAGGGGCAGGCCCCCUCCUGCAGGCCAGCGCGGAAAACAGCUAACUUUCUAGAAGGACAGCCUUCUGUGUGCCCGUGGUGGCCUCGGUAGCCCGUCUGUCGGAGACAGGCUUUCGCCUCUCGGCCCCCGCUGGGUAAGUCCACAUGCCUGGCCUCGCGGCCCCGGUGCCCGGGACCAGCUGGGUGGCCACUCCCUAGCCAGACGUCUGUGUCUUCGACCUCUGGGUUCAUUCACAGGUGCCGAUGACCAUCCAGGGUGCCCCUGCUCCACUCUUUUCUGCUGGCCUCCCCUGCUCUGGUCAGCUGGUCUGCUGCCCUGGGGGGCCGUCUCCACCUCCUUGGAUGCCUGUGUGGCCCCCCCCCCCCCCCCGGGCCUCUGGAGUUUCUCAUACAUGCAUCCUGGAGGGCGGAGGCCCUGAGUCGCCAGGCGUCCCCAGUGCCCGUCACGCUGAGUGCCAUGUGGCACCCACCGGCCGUGAGAGCCAUCGGGGAAUGGCCCCCCAAGCCGGGCUGGAAGCAGAAGCCAGGCCGUCCUCGGCCCCUGUCCUGUCAUCAGCCUGCAGCCCAGCUCCCUGCAUGAAUGCCCCUUUUGUGUAUGCCCGGCCGGGCCGGCCCCUCCCCGGGAUCUGCCGGGUGGGAACUCUGGCUCCAGAACGAGGAGCCCGGCCCUGCGCCUGCUGCCCCCCUCGGCCCCCCCACCAGCGGCCCUGGGGCCCCCCGGGCAGGUCACUGCCCCGGGCUGGGUGUUGGGCGGGAAUCGUAUUCCACGGUUCAAGGUCUCUUCCUCCCUGGCGUGCACGGGCAUUUUCCUAGGCCCCUGUCUGAGGCUCCCGGAAGGUGAGGCUCAGUGGUGAGGCCCAGUGACGGAAGAGACACCGUGGAAGGGGAGUGGACAUAUCCAGUGUGACCGUAAGAGCAUAGCCCGCCCCAGACUUAGGCCCAGGCUGAGGACCCCUAAUGCUGCUUGGGGGCCGUGGCCUAGCCCCACACUUCAGAGGACCCAGCUCUGGCUUUCCUUCGCCCAUGGCCUGCCUUGAGGCCCAGAGAGUCUGUGGGGCCAAGGGAAUGAGCCCCCCCGGAGUUGGCGCCCUACGGCCCCCCCCCCCCCAACCCAGGCCACAUUCUGGAUACUGGGACCCUGUAAUUCUGUGCCCAGAUGUCUUGAGGUUGCUUCCUGGGCCUGAGGAAUCUCCUCUCCUGGUCUGCCCUCCCACAGAGGGCCGUGUGGCCGGCGUGUGCUCCCCCCGGAGCUGGAGGGCUGGCAACCGGAGGGGAAUGGACCUUGGAUGAGCACAGCGGCACCCACACACGUGUGCGUGCAGGGGCUCUCGGGGGCCAGGAUGGGCCUGUGCCAGGAAGGGGCAGUUUGGGGACAUCCCAAAUUCAAACUCUGGGCUCGGCCCGUGCUGGCCGAGACUUUGGGGGGGGCCCCGGCAGGGAUGAGCCAGGAAGGGUGGAGGAGGUGUCACGGGAGGCGAGAGGGUUAGGCUGGUCUCUUCCGGGGUCUCCCUCUGGCUUCUUGGGUGAUGCCUUGCUUGAAAUCGUGGGCAACGACGCAGACUUUUCUGGGGAGGCCGGCCAGAGCCUUCCCCGGGUUCCUGAUGGAUCAGUGGCCUGGCCAGGAGGCCACCCUGGCAGUUGUGGAGCUGGGUUCUUAGUGGGGGGUAUUUCUCAGAGCCAUUGGUGGCCACGAAGGCCGUAGGUCACUCGGUCCCGCGGUGGACGGCGACGGCCGGGGUGAUCUCCAGCCUCGGCGUCCGCACUGCCCGUAUCACAGACAAGGAGGAAGGGGGAGGGAGGCCAGCUCACUGGAGCGACAGGGAACAGGGGCCAUGUCGUCAUUAACCACAGAUGCAGCUGGGGCCAGAUGCAAAGCUUUGUGAGCUGGAGAUGCCCAGGCCCUGACCCUGGCCUCCCCACGCCGUUUGGACCCGUGCCCUGCAUCCGGAGCCCUGCUGUGUAGACUCCGGAGGAACCAGUCUGGAUCCAGUUGCUGAAGCCCGUCUCUCUUCACGCAGUUUAUCCGCCUCUGGGAAGGGCCUCGUGGGAAGGCUGUCGAGAGUGGCCCACGCCGCAGGGUGGUGCAGUUGUGGGAUCAGAGUGGCGUUAGCGGGAGACCUCACAAGAGGGGCACCCUGGCCCCCGCCGGCCCCUCUGGGCCCCCUGGCUCCCCGGCCGGGCACAUGUGGUGGUGAGGCGUGCAGGGGAGGUAGGCAGACGAGAGAAGAGAGAGGGGGAAUCAGCAGGGCCGUGGGAAUUCAGUCUGGCGGUUUGCAAAGUGGGCGGCCUGGCCCAGGGUUGGGGGGCUGCCGGGAGGCUGGUGAGCGGGGACCAGGCUGUGCCCUAAUGAGGCAUCGUGGCCGCUAACCAGGCGUGGCCUGCAGAACAGCAGCCGGGGGCCCCGGACCCCAAUCAGCUGGGUGCUGCUGUCUCCCCUUGAGCCGGCUCUCCCUCUCUGCAAUGCUAAGUGCCUCUUGGUAUGGAUUGAGCGGCCCGAAUAAAUCUCUCUGAGACCAUCUGGUCUGGAGCAUCAAAGAACAGCUGGAGAUAACUUUUUUCCCUUCUUUUUAAAACAGGGCAAAAGCACCCACACGUCUGUCUAUGAAGUGAGCGCAUGUUAGAUCCUGGAGAAUUUUCUACCCCGUUGAUUUUUUGUUUUUUUUUUUUUUUUCUUCUUAAAGGUAUAAGGGAAGGGAACUGAGAGUCUUGGUUCUGAAAGGCUGUGCCUUCUCCUGGUUGUCUUAGCAUCUGAGGCCAGGAGGGACAGGAUGCGUGGGCCAGGCUCCCACCCCUCCCUGCAGCACUCGCGUCCUCCCCGGGCCCAUUUCUGCAGCCCGGAGCUCCAGGCACACGCAUCUCUGAGCUCUCCAGGGCCCCGUCCCGCUGUCCAGCCAGGUGCAGAAGCCAGAGCGCUGGCGUUGACCUUGACUUGUCCUCCUCCCAGAGUCCCCAGACACCAGCCCUGCCUGACUUGGCCGCCCUCUGAGCUGGAAGGGAAGGAGUCCGACGGAACUGGCCGUUCUCGCUGGGGCCGAGAAGACAGCUACAAGCUGGCAGAAUCAGGACAAGAUAGAUCCACGUGCCCUCCAUUGGGCCCAGGGACUGAGACCCGGGAGGGGCACUGCCCUGCCCUUCGAGCCACUGAUAAGCUGGUCGAGUAGCAGCUGAGUGGACUCUUGUGCGUCACUCUCCCUUAAACGCUGCUGAGAUCCUCCUGGAAGUGAGGCCCCCGCCUCUGACUCCUGAGAACGAAGUCAUUUCCGUGGCAGCAUCUCAGUGCCGACGCGGGCCCUGUUCUAGCUGCCGCACCCAUGUUAACUCUGACCUCUUGAGUGGGUGCUGGCACCACGCCUGUUGAGGGGUGAGGACCCGGGGCGCAAAGAAGGGAGCUAACUUGCCAGCCUUUGAAUCCAGGUGGGCCAGCAUCCAUGCCCUAGACCACCACAUGGACAUGCCCAAGGGGACCCUCCCUGGCCCACCCCCUGCCAGCUUCCUUGCUGCCUCCCGCACGGACCUGGCAUGCGGCCUCCACCCACUCACGGGGAAGAGCCUCGCACUGGUCCGUCUGGCCACCGCUCCCCCCCUCCACACCUCCUUCGCCCCCCGCCGUGGCUUCCGCAAGAUCUCUUUGCCUGAACCCGCUGUGCUCCCGUGUGCCUCAGUGCCUUUGCACAAGUGGCUCCCUCUGUCCAGAUGUCCUUCUCAGGCAACAUGCUCCCCACCUCCCCGGUGGAGCCGGCCCCUCCUCUGCAGGACUCAUUUUGGUAUCACCUUCCUGGGGAACCUUCCCUGGCUGGUGCCACCCCGGCUGGUAUGGUCCCUCUGUUUUUCGCUCUACCCAGCCCCGUGUCCUUCUGUCUCUGGGGCAGGCAUGGUCUGGUUCGCCUCUGGGUCCCACAGCGUAGCCCAGAGCUGGGCAUCCCCUGUCCUCUUGCUCACCUCAUUCAUUCAUCCCACAGAUGUUUGUUUAGCACCGACUCCGUGGUGGGCAUGGAAAAUACAGCAGGGGUCAAAACGGAGAGACCGGGCCCUAGUGGAGCUCAGAGUCUGGUGGGGAGUCAGGGAGCCAGUGCCAAGUGCACAUCUUCGGUCCACGCUCGCGGGGCGUGAGCACUGCCCCCUGCAGAGACAGGACUACUGAGAAUCCUGCGUGAACUCGUGAAUGAGUGAACUUGUGAAGGGGCCUUGGCUCAGUAUCACUCCGCAUUCUCGUUCUCCGUAGCUGGUCUUUAGGUUCGAGAGGCCUGGGUCCGGGACUUGGGGGGCUAUGCUGUCACCUGAGAUGCCGGGGCUGGCGGAAGCCCCCUCAGCCGCCUCCACUGCCCAUUCUGAGCGUUGGGGGCCUCACAGCCCCAGAGGAGAGCGUGUUUCCUGAAACCACCGCAAUCAGGGGAAGAUACGCGGUUCUUAGCUGGGCUGGUCUCCCAGAUGCUUUGUCACCGUGCACGUCUUUCGGGAUCGUGUUCUCGCUGAUCUGGAAGGAUGUGGUUAACGCCUAGGAUCGUUUUUCCUGCCGACUCUUUCUCGGACAAACCCAGUAGACAGCUCCGUGUAGGUGGCUGUGAGACCUGUCCUCUCCUUCCAUCACUGCCCCCUCCCCCUCCCCUGCGGUGGCUUCUGCGGCCCAUUUGAGACAGUGGGUGGGCAGGCCAACCAUGUACGCCUGCGGCCCAUCUUUCCCGGCUCAGCACUUAAUGACACGGUUUUGUUUACUGUUUCUUGCACCACUGCAGGUAACGUCCUGUGUGCCCAGUAUUUAUGGGGCAGGCUUACGAGGAUGCGUCUGGGGGUCAGUCAUGGUCUCACCACCCCCUUUCCCUGCCUCCUCUCCUAUUACAGCUCGCUCUAGCACACAGACCUCCUUGCCUACCACGCCCCUACCCCAGGGCCUUUGCACUUACCAUUUCACAAAAUGUCUGCUACCACCCCCGCCCGGCUGUGCACUGCUGUCACUUCUCAGCAAGGUUCCCUUGACCAUCUUAUUUAAAAUUGCAACCCAGGCCCACCCCACACGCUCUCUGCGCCUACUUAGUUUUAUUUUUCUCCAGGUCAUUUACCAAAGUAGGUUAUUACAUGUAUUCUAGCUACUCCUUUGUUUACUGCCGGCCUCCCUGAGUCAGUGUAAGUAAGCUCUUUUGCCCUUUUUAUCCCCAGCUUCUAGAACAGUAUCUGGCAUGUAGUAGGUAAUCAAUAAAUAUGCAUUGUGUGUGUGACUGAC